UGGGGAAUCUUGCACAAUGGACGAAAGUCUGAUGCAGCAACGCCGCGUGGGGGAUGAAGCUUUUCGGAGUGUAAACCCCUUUCGACCCGGAAGAAUGCCCGCAAGGGUUCGACGGUACGGGUAUAAGAAGCCCCGGCUAACUACGUGCCAGCAGCCGCGGUAAUACGUAGGGGGCCAGCGUUGCUCGGAAUUACUGGGCGUAAAGGGUCCGUAGGCGGUGUGGCAAGUCGGGAGUGAAAUCUCUGGGCUUAACCCAGAGGCUGCUUCCGAAACUGCCAUGCUAGAGUGUGAGAGAGGCGAGUGGAAUUACGGGUGUAGCGGUGAAAUGCGUAGAUAUCCGUAGGAACAUCCGAGGCGAAGGCGGCUCGCUGGAUCACAACUGACGCUGAGGGACGAAAGCUAGGGGAGCAAACAGGAUUAGAUACCCUGGUAGUCCUAGCCCUAAACCAUCAGGACUUGGGGUGUGCCCUGUACGGGGCACGUCCCGUAGCUAACGCGUUAAGUCCUGCGCCUGGGGAGUACGGUCGCAAGGCUG
rnacentral:rRNA from 1 species